rnacentral:rRNA from 1 species
ACCCCAGACUCCUACGGGAGGCAGCAGUGGGGAAUAUUGCACAAUGGGGGAAACCCUGAUGCAGCGACGCCGCGUGAGCGAUGAAGUCUUUCGGUAUGUAAAGCUCUAUCAGCAGGGAAGAAAAUGACGGUACCUGACUAAGAAGCCCCGGCUAACUACGUGCCAGCAGCCGCGGUAAUACGUAGGGGGCAAGCGUUAUCCGGAUUUACUGGGUGUAAAGGGAGCGUAGACGGUUAUGUAAGUCUGGAGUGAAAGCCCGGGGCCCAACCCCGGGACUGCUUUGGAAACUGUGUAACUAGAGUACAGGAGGGGCAGGCGGAAUUCCUGGUGUAGCGGUGAAAUGCGUAGAUAUCAGGAGGAACACCGGCGGCGAAGGCGGCCUGCUGGACUGAAACUGACGUUGAGGCUCGAAAGCGUGGGGAGCAAGCAGGAUUAGAUACCCUAGUA